rnacentral:rRNA from 1 species
UACGUAGGGCGCAAGCGUUGUCCGGAAUUAUUGGGCGUAAAGAGCUCGUAGGCGGUCUGUCGCGUCUGCUGUGAAAACCUAGGGCUUAACUCUGGGCGUGCAGUGGGUACGGGCAGGCUAGAGUGCGGUAGGGGAGACUGGAAUUCCUGGUGUAGCGGUGAAAUGCGCAGAUAUCAGGAGGAACACCGGUGGCGAAGGCGGCCCCCUGGACAAAGACUGACGCUCAGGUGCGAAAGCGUGGGGAGCAAACAGG